rnacentral:rRNA from 1 species
UACGAGGGGGGCUAGCGUUGUUCGGAAUUACUGGGCGUAAAGCGCGUGUAGGCGGGUCUUUAAGUCAGGGGUGAAAUGCCAAGGCUCAACCUUGGAACUGCCUUUGAUACUGGAGAUCUUGAGUCCGGGAGAGGUGAGUGGAAUUGCGAGUGUAGAGGUGAAAUUCGUAGAUAUUCGCAAGAACACCAGUGGCGAAGGCGGCUCACUGGCCCGGAACUGACGCUGAGACGCGAAAGCGUGGGGAGCAAACAGG